UACGGAGGAUCCAAGCGUUAUCCGGAUUUAUUGGGUUUAAAGGGUGCGUAGGCGGUUUAUUAAGUCAGUGGUGAAAGCCCGGAGCUCAACUUCGGAACUGCCACUUGAUACUGAUAGACUUGAGUACAGAUGAAGUGGGCGGAAGUGUGGACAAGUAGCGGUGAAAAUGGCUUAGAUAUGUCACAGAACACCGAUUGCGAAGGCAGCUCACCUAAAGUGUAACUGACGCUGAGGCACGAAAGCGUGGGGAUCAAACAGG
rnacentral:rRNA from 1 species